CCUGGAUGAUCCUGCUAGUAGUCAUAUGCUUAUCUCACAUAUUACACCAUGCAUAUGUAAGUAUGAACAAAUUAAGACUAUAAAACUGCGAAUGGAUUAUUAAAUCAGUUAUAGUUUGUCUGAUGGUAUCUAUUACUCAGAUAAUCGUAGUAAUUCUAGAGCUAAUACGUGCAAAAAAACCCGACUUCUGAAAGGGAUGCAUUUAUCAGAUAAAUGGUCGAUGUGGGCUCUGUUCAUUGCUGCGAUGAUUCAUGAUAACUCGAUGGAUUACACGGCCAUCGUGUCGGUGAUGAAUUAUUCAAAUUUCUACCCUAUCAACUUUCAAUGGUAGGAUACUGGCCUACCAUGGUGGUGAUGGGUGAUGGAGAAUUAGGGUUUGAUUUUAGAGAAGGAGCCUGAGAAUCGACUACAACAUCUAAGGAAGGUAGCAGGUGCGCAAAUUACCCAUUCCUGAUGCGUAGAGGUAGUGACAAUAAAUAACAAUAUCAGGCUCAAUGAGUAUGGUAAUUCAAAUGAGUACAAUAUAAAUCCCUUUAUGAGGAUCCAUUCGAGGGAAAUUCUGGUGCCAGCAGCCACUGUAAUUCCAACUCCAAUAGAGUAUAUUUAAGUUGCUGCAAUUAAAAAUCUCAUAGUUGGACUUUGGAAUGGGCUGGCCAGUCCGCCUUUGGUGAGCAUCGAUUGUCUCAUCCCUUCUGUCGGUAAUGCACUCCUGGCCUUAACUGGUCUGGUCAUGCCUUCGACACUGUUACUUUGAAUAAAUUAGAGUUCUCAAAGCAAGCCUACGCUCUAUAUACAUUAGUAUGGGAUAACAUUAUAGGAUUUCGAUCCUAUUACGUUAGCCUUAGGGAUCGUAGUAAUGAUUAACAGGGACAAUCAGGGGCAUUCGUAUUUCAUAGUCAGAGGUGAAAUUCUUGGAUUUAUGAAAGAUGAAAAACUGCAAACGCAUUUGCCAAGGAUGUUUUCAUUAAUCAAGAAUGAAAAUUAGGACCAAAAAGCUCUUUUAUAAUCAAGUUAAAAAUGCUUAACGAGGGCUACGGUGGUCAAAUCGAUGGUCCGUCGCAGGUCUGACGGUCCGUUGGAUCAUCCAUCGCACAUUGAUCCAAAAAAAAAAAACACUUCCUUGGUUGCGACAGUCUCAGCGACGUCCGUCACAAACCCGAUGGUCCAUCAGAUCGUUCGUCGCACAUUGGCCAGGACGAGGCCACACUACCUUAGUGCGACGGUCCCAGCGACAGUCUAUCAUAGACUUGAUGGUCUAUCAUCCUGGACAUUGUACUUGGGCAUCACUACCUUUUGCGACGGGAUGAGCGAUGGUUCGUCAGCCCGGCCGUCACACCUGGGCAGUUUUGACUGCUUUCUGUAAAACGGUCAUAACUUCCUCGUCUAAUGCCAUAUUUUGAUGAAAUUGGUAUCGAUGGAAAUAUUAUUCAAUGAUCUAUAUGACAAUAAAUCGAUAUUAGGGAAAUUCUAUAAAGUUAAAAAUAUUUCUCACUUGGGAAGACGCUUCUCAACCUUUUUGGGCCGGAUUUAU
rnacentral:rRNA from 1 species